rnacentral:rRNA from 1 species
GGAUGAACGCUGGCGGCGUGCUUAAGACAUGCAAGUCGAACGAGGGCACUUUGUAGCAAUACGGAGUGUUCCUAGUGGCGAAUGGGUGCGCAACACGUAGGUGACCUGCCCCGAAGUGGGGGAUAACAGUCCGAAAGGAUUGCUAAUACCGCAUGUGGUCCUGGAAGUUAGAGGUUCCAGGUCUAAAGUUGCAAAACGCUUCGGGAGGGGCCUGCGGCCCAUCAGGUAGUUAGUAGGGUAACGGCCUACCAAGCCAACGACGGGUAGGGGGCCUGAGAGGGUGAUCCCCCACACUGGCACUGACACACGGGCCAGACUCCUACGGGAGGCAGCAGUCGGGAAUAUUGCACAAUGGGCGAAAGCCUGAUGCAGCAACGCCGCGUGCGCGAUGAAGGCCUUCGGGUUGUAAAGCGCUUUUCGGGGGGAUGAGGAAGGACAGUACCCCCGGAAUAAGUCACGGCUAACUACGUGCCAGCAGCCGCGGUAAAACGUAGGUGGCUAGCGUUAUCCGGAUUUACUGGGCGUAAAGCGCGUGCAGGCGGUUCGUUAAGUCGGGCGUGAAAUCUCCUGGCUCAACUGGGAGAGGCCGUCCGAGACUGGCGGACUUGAGGGCAGUAGAGGGCGGUGGAAUUCCCGGUGUAGUGGUGAAAUGCGUAGAUAUCGGGAGGAACACCAGUGGCGAAGGCGGCCGCCUGGACUGCUCCUGACGCUCAGACGCGAAAGCUAGGGGAGCGAACGGGAUUAGAAACCCCGGGUAGUCCUAGCCGUAAACGAUGCUGACUAGGUGUCGGUGGUAUUGACCCCAUCGGUGCCGUAGCUAACGUGUUAAGUCAGCCGCCUGGGGACUACGGCCGCAAGGUUAAAACUCAAAGGAAUUGACGGGGGCCCGCACAAGCAGCGGAGCGUGUGGUUUAAUUCGAUGCGACACGAAGAACCUUACCAGGAAUUGACAUGCAGGUAGUAGUGAAGCGAAAGCGGAACGAUCCCUCGGGAAGCCUGCACAGGUGUUGCAUGGCUGUCGUCAGCUCGUGCCGUGAGGUGUUUGGUUAAGUCCAGUAACGAGCGCAACCCCUGCCGCCAGUUACAUGUGUCUGGCGGGACUGCCGGUCUUAAGCCGGAGGAAGGUGGGGAUGACGUCAAGUCAGCAUGACCUUUAUACCCUGGGCUACACACACGCUACAAUGGGCGGUACAAUGGGUCGCUAAGCCGCGAGGCGGAGCCAAUCCUCCAAAACCGUCCUCAGUUCGGAUCGCAGGCUGCAACCCGCCUGCGUGAAGUCGGAGUUGCUAGUAACCGCGCGUCAGCCAUAGUGCGGUGAAUACGUUCCCGGGCCUUGUACUCACCGC